GGCACAUGUCAGAUUGUCUGAUUUGAUUUUUACAGUAGGAAAAAAUGGUUCCCUUAGCUACCACACCCUUCUGUGCUACCCAUUUCUAUCCUCCAGACCACAGCACCAGUUUGGGCCUUUGUUACUUCUCCUUUGCCAAACUUUGACAGCCUCUUACCCAGCCUCUCCAUCUCCACUCUCUGCAUUCCAGUCUAUUGUAUACAUGGCUGGCAGAUUAAUCAUCUUAAAGCACAACAUCCUUUAUAUUCCUCCCUUCCAAAAACCCCCUAAUGCCUACUGAAAAAAAUCUGAACUACCUCCUCUGCCCCAACCUUUCCAUCUUUGACUUGGCCCUAUACCAGUGUCCAGUGGCUCUACAUCCUAAUGAGAGGUGAAGCCAGCUGGGCUU
rnacentral:lncRNA from 1 species